CCCCAACGAACCGCAAACCACAAAUCAAGUCACACCCACCUCAGCAUUAGAAGUGCACACCCGCCUAUCGAAUGUCGGAUGAUGAUAAGGCAACAAGUAGGUCUAGAGAAAUGAAAGCUAGUAGGUCUACUGCACCCAUGCAUGGAUGGAAAGAAUCAAUGGACCUGUGGAUAUAGGAUCCGGCCUCCUCAAGGGUCCUCGCGCAUUUACUAAAGAGCCAAGGGGUCUAGUAUGUAAGAAUCAAUGCCAGUCUCAAGUCAAGCACACUGAUGCCGGUUCCUGGCAUCUGGAAUGCCAGAAGGGUCGGAGGAACUUGCACACACAGAACGUACACGUCGUGUCACUGACAGCCCACUCGAGUCUCGUAAACAGAAAACAUAGUGCCCGCUCCUGCAGCGAGCCAAGAUACGGUAACCUCGAUACUUCUUUGUGUGUCACCGCGGUACGCGCACACACACGGAUCCACGGGCUUCCUCUCCGCACUCCUUCUGUCACACCCGUGCGAUAGAUCGUUUCGGACGUCACCUCUCCUCCGUCCCAUUACGAACCUGUAGCCCCAGGCAGCCCUGCGUCCAUUGGCACAGCGCCCCUCGCCACCUGCCACCCUCCCGCUCAGCAAAUAAACGCACGCGCGAGAGCAAAACACCAGCAGGUCCAUAGUAUGGCCAAGGGAGGCUGCCGGUUCCCCGGUCCCAUACAGUCACACAUACAUCUUAUUAAGAAACAUCAGCAGGGUUUAGUUGGCAAGUCUCAGUAGAGAAAUAGACAUCCAUACAUCACCCAAUGCGCGUGGCAAUAUCGCACUGAGUGCUUGCUUGCGCUAGCAAUCCAGCAUCAAGUACGGCCUUUGACACUCCCGCUCGCUCACAUACGGUGAAAUAUCAGUACAGCACGGCAACACUUGCGCGAAUCAGUCCUGACUCCUGCGGUAAACGCCGACUACCGUAGCACGCCCUGCUGUCGUGCUGACAAUGAGAAAUGUGCGGCGGCACAGCCCUGCUGGUUCACUUGAUAGUGGGCCCGAUCAGUAGCUAGUAGCGGCGAUUUGCCUAGCUGUCUAUACUUGCACGCAUACGCUGCAGGCUUUGCCGCCUGCCAUUCAACACACUCCUCAUGCCCUGCUGCUGGCUCGCUUCGAUACUGUACCAUCCACACACGUACGUGUGAGGAGCCCCUCUUGCGCCCGGCCACCAGCACCAAAGCUGCGGCGGCUGCGGCUGCUACUGCUACUGCUGCAUCUUCAAAUGGCGAAGGCAGCAAGCCGCUGGCUGCAGGCUCAUGCAGCUGACGGCGUAACACGGAAGCCAAACGGAACGGAGCGGGCCUUGCCGCUACCAGGCCGCCACCGCUGCCGGUGGCGGGAAGCAGCCGCACGCGCGCUCCAACGCGGCAAACUCCUCCAGCUCCCUUUCCUGCUCGGCCCACGCCGCCGCCGCCAGCUCGAGCGGCCGCCGCUGGGGGUGCCGCCGGUACCGCUGGCAGCUGAUGCCGCCGCCGCCUGCUCCGCCAGGCCCUCCUUCAUCCAGUGUGCGAGCGACCCGAGGUCGAGCUCCUCCUCCUCCUCCUCAACGUCAUCCGCCCAGCGGCGGCCGCUGGGGGUGCCGCCGGUGCCGCUGACAGCUGCCGCCGCCGCCUGCUCCGCCAGGCCCUCCUUCAUCCAGUCUGCGAGCGACCCGAGGUCGAGCUCCUCCUCCGCCUCCUCGUGCGCCUCAACCUCAUCCGCCCAGCUACCGCUCGCGCCACCGCUGCUGCUAAUGCUGGCGCGAGGAGCAAUGCUGCUGCUGCUGCCGUCAGACUCUGACGCUGCCGCGGGCGCGGCCGGUGCGGCUUCCGCCUGCUGCUGCUCGGCCGCCGCGAGCUCCGCCAGUCCCUGCUUCACCCAGGGCGUCUGCUCAAAGAGGUCGCUCAGGUCGAGUCCGUCAGCCUCAUCCUCAUCAUCAUCGCCCCAUCGCGGCGUGGUCGAGCUGCGGUCGACGGUGGAGGUGGAGAUGGGGCUUGCAGCGGCGGCGGGCUUGGUCGGAGCCGCGAGCUUGGGCACCUUGGGCAGGCCGGGCGGCUUCUGCGGGCGCCAGUGGUUGUCGUAGGCAUGGCAAAGCUGGCAGGGGGCGCUCCUGCAGCCAGCAGAUAGGCUGGCAUAGCACCAGCGCAUGCAGGACUUGUGAGGAAAGCAGCAGGCGCUGGGGGCAGGCUCCUGCUGCUCCUGCUGGUGGGCGGCGGCGGAGGGCUCGCUCUCAUCAGAGCCGUGGCCUUGGCUGCGGGGCGUGUGGCGCCAGGCGUCCUGUGCAAACGAGAUCGGGGGAAAAGGAUAGAUGGGGGCGGACAAGCCGUGAGUGCACGGGACGAGGACAAGGGUCGGGGCGCAGAGGGCGGGACAAAGGACCGGGGGUCGGGGACUCGAGCCCCGGCAAAAAAGUCAGGCGCACCGGAAAGGCACGCGCUUUCGGUCAAAGCUGUUGACCGACGCAUUUUACGUGACAAUACAUGCAGCAAUAUGCAGCCAGUGUGGCCGCAGCAGCGCAAGAAGGAAGGCCGAGGAAGCCGAGCGCACUACCGUACUGGCCCGAAAUCUGCAACGCUAUCUAGCCCGCAUCAGAAGCCUAAUGCUUUGCAUGUGGCAUCGGAUACCCAUUGCAGUUGCUCAAGGCUCAAAAUGGCCGUGCCCGAACAUGAAUGGUGCUCACCUGCAUCGGUCGGCUCGGCUCGAAGUCAAGCCCCGGUGCACUUGCGCUUGACCGUGAUGUGGCCAUAGUAGCUCUUGACCGCAACAAGCACUCUUCGCGCGCAGAACUCGAUUCUGCUGCUAGCGCAAUUCUUUCGCUUGACGGAAACUUUUCCUCGCGGUGCCCGGGAGGGAUUCGCGCUAGGAGCUGCUAGUUCGUGACAGUGGUGGUGCUUGCCGCAGCUUUCAUGCGCAUGCGGUGGAAAUCGAGAGAGGUUGCGAACAGCCCUAGAAAUGCUCUUCUUUGCCGUCAGGUGCUCGUAGCUAAGCAGUGGGCGUAAAAGCUGUUUGCGAGAUGUCUUUGCAUCUGUUGAAUGUGCAAUAUGAGCACAGCGCGAAGCUUUUAUCCAGUGGCGGGGACAGUGUCUCGGGCGCCCAUGCAGGCGACACGCGCCCAAUCCCGAGCCUCCCUCCUCGCCUUUACCUUGUCCCUGGACCCGCGCCAUCCGUGUCCCGCUGUUCAAUUCCCGCGUUUCAUACCAGUUCCCCUCCCCUGCGCAGGCCGGUAACCCCUGAUCCCGCCGCUGCCGGGGAUGCAGCCGUGCAGGAUGAGGCCUGAUGAGGUUGACGGCUGGGGAAGUUGGUGUGGGGAAGUUGGUGUAGGUUGGCGGUGAUCCAGCGGGGUGGGUGCCGAUGUGCUAUAGCGGGCGCGAGGCUGUACACGUCAGGAUCUGGCGAGUGUACUGCUUAACACCUACCGCUACGCAGUACUCCGGCUUGCCCCUCCCCCCUCAGGGCGCUCCAUGCCGUGCGCCCCGGAAUGCGGUGUGGGGAUGGGGUGGGGUGGGAUGGACUGGCGGAUGGUGGAAGUAUCAUAUAGGUCUGCUGGGGGCUGCGAGCAGCCAUACUACCGGUCAUGAUAUUGCCUUCGGUAGCUCAGGGCGCCGCGGGCUGGGGGUGGGUAAGUGAGCGGGGAUGGGGGCUCGGACUCAGCGGGGGCACGGACUCAGGGCGUGGAAGCCAGCGAGAAGUGGGCGAGAGUAACGCCGAUGUGCCGGGUGAUGUGCGAGCAGAAUACAGAACGCGGCAUUCGUCAUUACGGGGAAACUAAAACAGAUAGCGCCAACCUUUUGCGCCUCGCGCUUUCGCGCGCAAUUUCCAGGAUCCUCCAACGCGUCGAUUCCUCCGUCUUGCGUCCUUCCGUGCCGGGAGCCUUGAUUAUCGAUACAAUUUGUGAUAUAUUGUAUGUUGCGCUGGAGCUCUAAUGCAAACGCUGCGCUUGUGCGUUUACCCCGCUCUGGCAUAGGGCUUGCGUUUUCAUAAUGUUACGCUUUGCAAUACAUACAUAGAAAGGCGCAUUAUUUGCACGACAAAUUCCGCUGCGCUCGGGUUUCAAGGUUAUAACUCAAGUCAAAACUGGAAUAACCGGGAGGGCCCCCCGCGGCGAGCUCGAUGCGACCGCAAUGGCUAUUGCCCCUCCCCCUUCGGGGGAAGGGGCAAGCCAACCUGGCUUUGUGAUGGCCCCCAAGCGUAGGUGAGGUAGGCGCACGGCGGUGACAAGGCAUGCGGCCAGUGGAACUGCCUUACAGUUACAGCCCGCCCAAGCGCGGUUGUUGCCUUGCCAUGAUUUCCGUGCAGUCUGCUAGCUUCGGCAGGGACGGUGCCCAUCAGUUCCCGAUGUUGACAAACCAUGCAUCCAGCCGCCCACACGUGCUCUCCGUUCGUCACAUACCGUACUCGAACUCCAAUGUCCGCAGAGCGUGUGCGCGAAAUCCACACGCCACACACGCAAGUGACAGCCGCCCGUCCUUGCACAGCAAGCAUCUCCGCGCACGGUCGCACGCUUCUCUAGCCCCAACGAACCGCAAACCACAAAUCAAGUCACACCCACCUCAGCAUUAGAAGUGCACACCCGCCUAUCGAAUGUCGGAUGAUGAUAAGGCAACAAGUAGGUCUAGAGAAAUGAAAGCUAGUAGGUCUACUGCACCCAUGCAUGGAUGGAAAGAAUCAAUGGACCUGUGGAUAUAGGAUCCGGCCUCCUCAAGGGUCCUCGCGCAUUUACUAAAGAGCCAAGGGGUCUAGUAUGUAAGAAUCAAUGCCAGUCUCAAGUCAAGCACACUGAUGCCGGUUCCUGGCAUCUGGAAUGCCAGAAGGGUCGGAGGAACUUGCACACACAGAACGUACACGUCGUGUCACUGACAGCCCACUCGAGUCUCGUAAACAGAAAACAUAGUGCCCGCUCCUGCAGCGAGCCAAGAUACGGUAACCUCGAUACUUCUUUGUGUGUCACCGCGGUACGCGCACACACACGGAUCCACGGGCUUCCUCUCCGCACUCCUUCUGUCACACCCGUGCGAUAGAUCGUUUCGGACGUCACCUCUCCUCCGUCCCAUUACGAACCUGUAGCCCCAGGCAGCCCUGCGUCCAUUGGCACAGCGCCCCUCGCCACCUGCCACCCUCCCGCUCAGCAAAUAAACGCACGCGCGAGAGCAAAACACCAGCAGGUCCAUAGUAUGGCCAAGGGAGGCUGCCGGUUCCCCGGUCCCAUACAGUCACACAUACAUCUUAUUAAGAAACAUCAGCAGGGUUUAGUUGGCAAGUCUCAGUAGAGAAAUAGACAUCCAUACAUCACCCAAUGCGCGUGGCAAUAUCGCACUGAGUGCUUGCUUGCGCUAGCAAUCCAGCAUCAAGUACGGCCUUUGACACUCCCGCUCGCUCACAUACGGUGAAAUAUCAGUACAGCACGGCAACACUUGCGCGAAUCAGUCCUGACUCCUGCGGUAAACGCCGACUACCGUAGCACGCCCUGCUGUCGUGCUGACAAUGAGAAAUGUGCGGCGGCACAGCCCUGCUGGUUCACUUGAUAGUGGGCCCGAUCAGUAGCUAGUAGCGGCGAUUUGCCUAGCUGUCUAUACUUGCACGCAUACGCUGCGGGUGUGCCUCACAUACCAUAAUACCCAGUGCUGCUUCUUUCGCAUAUAACACACGCUCAGCAUGCCCUGCUGGCUCACUUCGAUACUGUGCCAUCCACACACGUACGUGUGACGAGCCCCUCUUGCGAACGGCCGCCGGCACCACAGCUGCGGCGGCUGCGGCUGCUGCUGCUCCUGCUGCUGCUACUGCUACUGCUGCAUCUUCAAAUGGCGAGGGCAGCAAGCCGCUGGCUGCAGGGCUCAUGCAGCUGACGGCGUAACACGGAAGCCAAACGGAACGGAGCGGCCCUUGCCGCUACCAGGCCGCCACCGCUGCCGGUGGCGGGAAGCAGCCGCACGCGCGCUCCAACGCGGCAAACUCCUCCAGCUCCCGCUCCUGCUCAGCCCACGCCGCCGCCGCCAGCUCCAUCGCCAGGCGCAGGCGCGAGGGCAUCACAGCUGACUGCCACUCAUCACCCUGCUGCACCGCCGCGAUCGGCGGAACGACACAGCUGCCCAUGCUGCUGCCGGCGGCGGUGCAGGCCUCCUUGUCAGCGCUAUGCUCCUCCACUGCCGCCUCCACCAACUCCACCUGCUGCGGCGUCUCACUGCCUGCCGCCGCCGCCACCCAGACCAGACUGCAGCUGCUGGCGCUGCGGCUGGUGCGGGCGCUGUCCGGCACGGCGCAGCAGCACGAGCUGAGCGGCGAGUCAGGCGCGUCCAGCCGCUCAGUGACGACGGCCACCUCCUGCGCCGCUUCGGCCGCCGCCGGCACGCACUCGCCCUGGGCCUCUGCUUUCCCCAUCGCCGCCAGCUCCGCCGCCAUCCAGGGCGACAGCGAGGCGAGGUAGGCGCCGAAAUCGCCGGCCUCCUCCGCCUCAACGUCAUCCGCCCAGCGGCGGCCGUUGGGGAUGCCGCCGGUGCCGCUGGCAGCUGCCGCCGCCGCCUGCUCCGCCAGGCCCUCCUUCAGCCAAUCUGCGAGCGACCCGAGGUCGAGCUCCUCCUCCGCCUCCUCAUGCGCCUCAACCUCAUCCGCCCAGCUACCGCUCGCGCCACCGCUGCUGCUAAUGCUGGCGCGAGGAGCAAUGCUGCUGCUGCUGCUGCUGCUGCUGCUGCCGUCAGACUCUGACGCUGCCGCGGGCACGGCCGGUGCGGCUUCCGCCUGCUGCUGCUCGGCCGCCGCGAGCUCCGCCAGUCCCUGCUUCACCCAGGGCGUCUGCUCAAAGAGGUCGCUCAGGUCGAGUCCGUCAGCCUCAUCCUCAUCAUCAUCGCCCCAUCGCGGCGUGGUCGAGCUGCGGUCGACGGUGGAGGUGGAGAUGGGGCUUGCAGCGGCGGCGGGCUUGGUCGGGGCGGCGGGCUUGGUCGGAGCCGCGAGCUUGGGCACCUUGGGCAGGCCGGGCGGCUUCUGCGGGCGCCAGUGGUUGUCGUAGGCAUGGCAAAGCUGGCAAGGGGCGCUCCUGCAGCCAGCAGAUAGGCUGGCAUAGCACCAGCGCAUGCAGGACUUGUGAGGAAAGCAGCAGGCGCUGGGGGCGGGCUCCUGCUGCUCCUGCUGGUGGGCGGCGGCGGAGGGCUCGCUCUCAUCAGAGCCGUGGCCUUGGCUGCGGGGCGUGUGGCGCCAGGCGUCCUGUGCAAACGAGAUCGGGGGAAAAGGAUAGAUGGGGGCGGACAAGCCGUGAGUGCACGGGACGAGGACAAGGGUCGGGGCGCAGAGGGCGGGAGAAAGGGCCGGGGGUCGGGGGCUCGGGCCCCGGCAAAAAAGUCAGGCGCACCGGAAAGGCACGCGCUUUCGGUCAAAGCUGUUGACCGACGCAUUUUACGAGACAAUACAUGCAGCAAUAUGCAGCCAGUGUGGCCGCAGCAGCGCAAGAAGGAACGCCGAGGAAGCUGAGCGCACUACUGGCCCGAAAUCUGCAACGCUAUCUAGCCCGCAUCAGAAGCCUAAUGCUUUGCAUGUGGCAUCGGAUACCCAUUGCAGCUGCUCAAGGCUCAAAAUGGCCGUGCCCGAACAUGAAUGGUGCUCACCUGCAUCGGUCGGCUCGGCUCGAAGUCAAGCCCCGGUGCACUUGCGAUUGACCGUGAUGUGGCCAUAGUAGCUCUCGACCGCACCAAGCACUCUUCGCGCGCAGAACUCGAUUCUGCUGCUAGCGCAAUUCUUUCGCUUGACGGAAACUUUUCCUCGCGGUGCCCGGGAGGGAUUCGCGCUAGGAGCUGCUAGCUCGUGACAGUGGUGGUGCUUGCCGCAGCUUUCAUGCGCAUGCGGUGGAAAUCGAGAGAGGUCGCGAACAGCCCUAGAAAUGCUCUUCUUUGCCGUCAGGUGCUCGUAGCUAAGCAGUGGGCGUAAAAGCUGUUUGUGAGAUGUCUUUGCAUCUGUUGAAUGUGCAAUAUGAGCACAGCGCGAAGCUUUUAUCCAGUGGCGGGGACAGGGUCUCGGGCGCCCAUGCAGGCGACACGCGCCCAAUCCCGAGCCUCCCACUCCUCGCCUGUACCUUGUCCCUGGACCCGCGCCAUCCGUGUCCCGCUGUUCAAUUCCCGCGUUUCAUACCAGCUCCCCUCCCCUGCGUAGGCCGGUAACCCCUGAUCCCGCCGCUGCCGGGGAUGCAGCCGUGCAGGAUGAGGUUGACGGCUGGGGAAGUUGUUGUGGGGAAGUUGGUGUAGGUUGGCGGUGAUCCAGCGGGGUGGGUGCCGAUGUGCUAUAGCGGGCGCGAGGCUGUACACGUCAGGAUCUGGCGAGUGUACUGCUCAAGCUGGCUUUGUGAUGGCCCCCAAGCGUAGGUGAGGUAGGCGCACGGCGGUGACAAGGCAUGCGGCCAGUGGAACUGCCUUACAGUUACAGCCCGCCCAAGCGCGGUUGUUGCCCUGCCAUGAUUUCCGUGCAGUCUGCUAGCUUCGGCAGGGACGGUGCCCAUCAGUUCCCGAUGUUGACAAACCAUGCAUCCAGCCGCCCACACGUGCUCUUCGUUCGUCACAUACCGUACUCGAACUCCAAUGUCCACAGAGCGUGUGCGCGAAAUCCACACGCCACACACGCAAGUGACAGCCGCCCGUCCUUGCACAGCAAGCAUCUCCGCGCACGGUCGCACGCUUCUCUAGCCCCAACGAACCGCAAACCACAAAUCAAGUCACACCCACCUCAGCAUUAGAAGUGCACACCCGCCUAUCGAAUGUCGGAUGAUGAUAAGGCAACAAGUAGGUCUAGAGAAAUGAAAGCUAGUAGGUCUACUGCACCCAUGCAUGGAUGGAAAGAAUCAAUGGACCUGUGGAUAUAGGAUCCGGCCUUCUCAAGGGUCCUCGCGCAUUUACUAAAGAGCCAAGGGGUCUAGUAUGUAAGAAUCAAUGCCAGUCUCAAGUCAAGCACACUGCUGCCGCUUCCUGGCAUCUGGAAUGCCGGAAGGGUCGGAGGAACUUGCACCCACAGAACGUACACGUCGUGUCACUGACAGCCCACUCGAGUCUUGUAAACAGUAAGAAUAGUGCCCGCUCCUGCAGCGAGCCAAGAUACGGUAACCUCGAUACUUCUUUGUGUCUCACCGCGGUACGCGCACAGACAUUAAUCUGCGGGCUCCCUCUCCGCACUCCUUCUGUCACUCCCGUGCGUCAGGUCGUUUCCGACGUCGCCUCCACUCCAUCUCCUACGUCCCAUGACUCACCUGUAGCCCCAGGCAGCCCUGCGUCCAUUGGCACAGCGCCCCUCGCCACCUGCCACCCUCUCGCUCAGCAAAUGAACGCACGCACGAUAGCAAAACACCAGCAGUCCGUAGUAUGGCCAAGGGGGGCUGCCGGUUCCCCGGUCCCAUACAGUCACACAUACAUCUUAUUAAGAAACAUCAGCAGGGUUUAUUUGGCGAGUCUCAGUAGAGAAAUAGACAUCCCUACAUCACCCAAUGCGCAUGGCAAUAUCGCACUGAGUGCUUGCUUGCGCAAGCAAUCCAGCAUCAAGUGCGGCCUUUGACACUCCCGCUCGCUCACAUACGGUGUAUUAUCAGUACAGCACGGCAACACUCGCGCGAAUCAGUCCUGUCUCCUGCGGUAAACGCCGACUACCGUAGCACGCCCUGCUGUCGUGCUGACAAUGAGAAAUGUGCGGCGGCACAGCCCUGCUGGUUCACUUGAUAGUGAAUGGGCCCGAUCAGUAGCUAGUAGCGGCGAUUAGCCUAGCUGUCUAUACUUGCACGCAUACGCUGCGGGUGUGCCUCACAUACCAUAAUACCCAGUGCUGCUUCUUUCGCAUAUAACACACGCUCAGCAUGCCCUGCUGGCUCACUUCGAUACUGUGCCAUCCACACACGUACGUGUGACGAGCCCCUCUUGCGAACGGCCGCCGGCACCACAGCUGCGGCGGCUGCGGCUGCUGCUGCUCCUGCUGCUGCUACUGCUACUGCUGCAUCUUCAAAUGGCGAGGGCAGCAAGCCGCUGGCUGCAGGGCUCAUGCAGCUGACGGCGUAACACGGAAGCCAAACGAAACGGAGCGGCCCUUGCCGCUACCAGGCCGCCACCGCUGCCGGUGGCGGGAAGCAGCCGCACGCGCGCUCCAACGCGGCAAACUCCUCCAGCUCCCGCUCCUGCUCAGCCCACGCCGCCGCCGCCAGCUCCAUCGCCAGGCGCAGGCGCGAGGGCAUCACAGCUGACUGCCACUCAUCACCCUGCUGCACCGCCGCGAUCGGCGGAACGACACAGCUGCCCAUGCUGCUGCCGGCGGCGGUGCAGGCCUCCUUGUCAGCGCUAUGCUCCUCCACUGCCGCCUCCACCAACUCCACCUGCUGCGGCGUCUCACUGCCUGCCGCCGCCGCCACCCAGACCAGACUGCAGCUGCUGGCGCUGCGGCUGGUGCGGGCGCUGUCCGGCACGGCGCAGCAGCACGAGCUGAGCGGCGAGUCAGGCGCGUCCAGCCGCUCAGUGACGACGGCCACCUCCUGCGCCGCUUCGGCCGCCGCCGGCACGCACUCGCCCUGGGCCUCUGCUUUCCCCAUCGCCGCCAGCUCCGCCGCCAUCCAGGGCGACAGCGAGGCGAGGUAGGCGCCGAAAUCGCCGGCCUCCUCCGCCUCAACGUCAUCCGCCCAGCGGCGGCCGUUGGGGGUGCCGCCGGUGCCGCUGGCAGCUGCCGCCGCCGCCUGCUCCGCCAGGCCCUCCUUCAGCCAAUCUGCGAGCGACCCGAGGUCGAGCUCCUCCUCCGCCUCCUCAUGCGCCUCAACCUCAUCCGCCCAGCUACCGCUCGCGCCACCGCUGCUGCUAAUGCUGGCGCGAGGAGCAAUGCUGCUGCUGCUGCUGCUGCUGCUGCUGCUGCUGCUGCUGCUGCCGUCAGACUCUGACGCUGCCGCGGGCACGGCCGGUGCGGCUUCCGCCUGCUGCUGCUCGGCCGCCGCGAGCUCCGCCAGUCCCUGCUUCACCCAGGGCGUCUGCUCAAAGAGGUCGCUCAGGUCGAGUCCGUCAGCCUCAUCCUCAUCAUCAUCGCCCCAUCGCGGCGUGGUCGAGCUGCGGUCGACGGUGGAGGUGGAGAUGGGGCUUGCAGCGGCGGCGGGCUUGGUCGGGGCGGCGGGCUUGGUCGGAGCCGCGAGCUUGGGCACCUUGGGCAGGCCGGGCGGCUUCUGCGGGCGCCAGUGGUUGUCGUAGGCAUGGCAAAGCUGGCAAGGGGCGCUCCUGCAGCCAGCAGAUAGGCUGGCAUAGCACCAGCGCAUGCAGGACUUGUGAGGAAAGCAGCAGGCGCUGGGGGCGGGCUCCUGCUGCUCCUGCUGGUGGGCGGCGGCGGAGGGCUCGCUCUCAUCAGAGCCGUGGCCUUGGCUGCGGGGCGUGUGGCGCCAGGCGUCCUGUGCAAACGAGAUCGGGGGAAAAGGAUAGAUGGGGGCGGACAAGCCGUGAGUGCACGGGACGAGGACAAGGGUCGGGGCGCAGAGGGCGGGAGAAAGGGCCGGGGGUCGGGGGCUCGGGCCCCGGCAAAAAAGUCAGGCGCACCGGAAAGGCACGCGCUUUCGGUCAAAGCUGUUGACCGACGCAUUUUACGAGACAAUACAUGCAGCAAUAUGCAGCCAGUGUGGCCGCAGCAGCGCAAGAAGGAACGCCGAGGAAGCCGAGCGCACUACUGGCCCGAAAUCUGCAACGCUAUCUAGCCCGCAUCAGAAGCCUAAUGCUUUGCAUGUGGCAUCGGAUACCCAUUGCAGCUGCUCAAGGCUCAAAAUGGCCGUGCCCGAACAUGAAUGGUGCUCACCUGCAUCGGUCGGCUCGGCUCGAAGUCAAGCCCCGGUGCACUUGCGAUUGACCGUGAUGUGGCCAUAGUAGCUCUCGACCGCACCAAGCACUCUUCGCGCGCAGAACUCGAUUCUGCUGCUAGCGCAAUUCUUUCGCUUGACGGAAACUUUUCCUCGCGGUGCCCGGGAGGGAUUCGCGCUAGGAGCUGCUAGCUCGUGACAGUGGUGGUGCUUGCCGCAGCUUUCAUGCGCAUGCGGUGGAAAUCGAGAGAGGUCGCGAACAGCCCUAGAAAUGCUCUUCUUUGCCGUCAGGUGCUCGUAGCUAAGCAGUGGGCGUAAAAGCUGUUUGUGAGAUGUCUUUGCAUCUGUUGAAUGUGCAAUAUGAGCACAGCGCGAAGCUUUUAUCCAGUGGCGGGGACAGGGUCUCGGGCGCCCAUGCAGGCGACACGCGCCCAAUCCCGAGCCUCCCACUCCUCGCCUGUACCUUGUCCCUGGACCCGCGCCAUCCGUGUCCCGCUGUUCAAUUCCCGCGUUUCAUACCAGCUCCCCUCCCCUGCGUAGGCCGGUAACCCCUGAUCCCGCCGCUGCCGGGGAUGCAGCCGUGCAGGAUGAGGUUGACGGCUGGGGAAGUUGGUGUGGGGAAGUUGGUGUAGGUUGGCGGUGAUCCAGCGGGGUGGGUGCCGAUGUGCUAUAGCGGGCGCGAGGCUGUACACGUCAGGAUCUGGCGAGUGUACUGCUCAAGCUGGCUUUGUGAUGGCCCCCAAGCGUAGGUGAGGUAGGCGCACGGCGGUGACAAGGCAUGCGGCCAGUGGAACUGCCUUACAGUUACAGCCCGCCCAAGCGCGGUUGUUGCCCUGCCAUGAUUUCCGUGCAGUCUGCUAGCUUCGGCAGGGACGGUGCCCAUCAGUUCCCGAUGUUGACAAACCAUGCAUCCAGCCGCCCACACGUGCUCUUCGUUCGUCACAUACCGUACUCGAACUCCAAUGUCCACAGAGCGUGUGCGCGAAAUCCACACGCCACACACGCAAGUGACAGCCGCCCGUCCUUGCACAGCAAGCAUCUCCGCGCACGGUCGCACGCUUCUCUAGCCCCAACGAACCGCAAACCACAAAUCAAGUCACACCCACCUCAGCAUUAGAAGUGCACACCCGCCUAUCGAAUGUCGGAUGAUGAUAAGGCAACAAGUAGGUCUACUGCACCCAUGCAUGGAUGGAAAGAAUCAAUGGACCUGUGGAUAUAGGAUCCGGCCUUCUCAAGGGUCCUCGCGCAUUUACUAAAGAGCCAAGGGGUCUAGUAUGUAAGAAUCAAUGCCAGUCUCAAGUCAAGCACACUGCUGCCGCUUCCUGGCAUCUGGAAUGCCGGAAGGGUCGGAGGAACUUGCACCCACAGAACGUACACGUCGUGUCACUGACAGCCCACUCGAGUCUUGUAAACAGUAAGAAUAGUGCCCGCUCCUGCAGCGAGCCAAGAUACGGUAACCUCGAUACUUCUUUGUGUCUCACCGCGGUACGCGCACAGACAUUAAUCUGCGGGCUCCCUCUCCGCACUCCUUCUGUCACUCCCGUGCGUCAGGUCGUUUCCGACGUCGCCUCCACUCCAUCUCCUACGUCCCAUGACUCACCUGUAGCCCCAGGCAGCCCUGCGUCCAUUGGCACAGCGCCCCUCGCCACCUGCCACCCUCUCGCUCAGCAAAUGAACGCACGCACGAUAGCAAAACACCAGCAGUCCGUAGUAUGGCCAAGGGGGGCUGCCGGUUCCCCGGUCCCAUACAGUCACACAUACAUCUUAUUAAGAAACAUCAGCAGGGUUUAUUUGGCGAGUCUCAGUAGAGAAAUAGACAUCCCUACAUCACCCAAUGCGCAUGGCAAUAUCGCACUGAGUGCUUGCUUGCGCAAGCAAUCCAGCAUCAAGUGCGGCCUUUGACACUCCCGCUCGCUCACAUACGGUGUAUUAUCAGUACAGCACGGCAACACUCGCGCGAAUCAGUCCUGUCUCCUGCGGUAAACGCCGACUACCGUAGCACGCCCUGCUGUCGUGCUGACAAUGAGAAAUGUGCGGCGGCACAGCCCUGCUGGUUCACUUGAUAGUGGGCCCGAUCAGUAGCUAGUAGCGGCGAUUUGCCUAGCCGUCUAUACUUGCACGCAUACGCUGCGGGUGUGCCUCACAUACCAUAAUACCCAGUGCUGCUUCUUUCGCAUAUAACACACGCUCAGCAUGCCCUGCUGGCUCACUUCGAUACUGUACCAUCCACACACGUACGUGUGACGAGCCCCUGUUGCAAAAGGCCGCCGGCACCACAGCUGCGGCUGCUGCGGCUGCUGCUGCCGCUGCUACUGCUGCAUCUUCAAAUGGCGAAGGCAGCAAGCCGCUGGCUGCUGGGCUCAUGCAGCUGACGGCGUAACACGGAAUGAAGCCAAACGGAACGGAGCGGCCCUUGCCGCUACCAGGCCGCCACCGCUGCCGGUGGCGGGAAGCAGCCGCACGCGCGCUCCAACGCGGCAAACUCCUCCAGCUCCCGCUCCUGCUCGGCCCACGCCGCCGCCGCCAGCUCGAUCGCCAGGCGCAGGCGCGAGGGCAUCACAGCUGACUGCCACUCAUCACCCUGCUGCACUGCCGCAAUUGGCGGAACGACACAGCUGCCCAUGCUGCUGCCGGCGGCGGUGCAGGCCUCCUUGUCAAUGCUCUGCCGCUCCGCUGCCACCUCCACCGCCUCCACCUGCUGCGGCGUCUCACUGCCUGCCGCCGCCGCCACCCAGACCAGACUGCAGCUGCUGGCGCUGCGGCUGGUGCGGGCGCUGUCCGGCACGGCGCAGCAGCACGAGCUGAGCGGCGAGUCAGGCGCGUCCGGCCGCUCAGUGACAACGGCCACCUCCUGCUCCGCUUCGGCCGCCGCCGGCACGCACUCGCCCUGGGCCUCUGCUUUCCCCAUCGCCGCCAGCUCCGCCGCCAUCCAGGGCGACAGCGAGGCGAGGUAGGCGCCGAAAUCGUCGGCCUCCUCCUCCUCGACGUCAUCCGCCCAGCGGCGGCCGCUGGGGGUGCCGCCGGUGCCGCUGGCAGAUCCCGCCGCCGCCUGCUCCGCCAGGCCCUCCUUCAACCAAUCUGCAAGCGACCCGAGGUCGAGCUCCUCCUCCUCCUCCGCCUCCUCGUGCGCCUCGACUUCAUCCGCCCAGCUACCGCUCGCGCCACCGCUGCUGCUAAUGCUGGCGCGAGGAGCAAUGCUGCUGCUGCUACUGCUGCUGCUGCUGCCGUCAGACUCUGACGCUGCCGCGGGCGCGGCCGGUGCGGCUUCCGCCUGCUGCUGCUCGGCCGCCGCGAGCUCCGCCAGUCCCUGCUUCACCCAGGGCGUCUGCUCAAAGAGGUCGCUCAGGUCGAGUCCGUCAGCCUCAUCCUCAUCAUCAUCGCCCCAUCGCGGCGUGGUCGAGCUGCGGUCGACGGUGGAGGUGGAGAUGGGGCUGGCAGCGGCGGCGGGCUUGGUCGGGGCGGCGGGCUUGGUCGGAGCCGCGAGCUUGGGCACCUUGGGCAGGCCGGGCGGCUUCUGCGGGCGCCAGUGGUUGUCGUAGGCAUGGCAAAGCUGGCAGGGGGCGCUCCUGCAGCCAGCAGAUAGGCUGGCAUAGCACCAGCGGAUGCAGAACUUGUGGGGAAAGCAGCAGGCGCUGGGGCCGGGCUCCUGCUGCUCCUGCUGGUGGGCGGCGGCGGAGGGCUCGCUCUCAUCAGAGCCAUGGCCUUGGCUGCGGGGCGUGUGGCGCCAGGCGUCCUGUGCAAACGAGAUCGGGGGAAAGGAUAGAUGGGGGCGGACAAGCCGUGAGUGCACGGGACGAGGACAAGGGUCGGGGCGCAGAGGGCGGGACAAAGGGCCGGGGGUCGGGGGCUCGAGCCCCGGCAAAAAAGUCAGGCGCACCGGAAAGGCACGCGCUUUCGGUCAAAGCUGUUGACCGACGCAUUUUACGAGACAAUACAUGCAGCAAUAUGCAGCCAGUGUGGCCGCAGCAGCGCAAGAAGGAAGGCUGAGGAAGCAGAGCGCACUACUGACCCGAAAUCUGCAACGCUAUAUAGCCCGCAUCCGAAGCCUAAUGCUUUGCAUGUGGCAUCAGAUACCCAUUGCAGCUGCUCAAGGCUCAAAAUGGCCGUGCCCGAACAUGAAUGGUGCUCACCUGCAUCGGUCGGCUCGGCUCGAAGUCAAGCCCCGGUGCACUUGCAAUUGACCGUGAUGUGGCCAUAGUAGCUCUUGACCGCACCAAGCACUCUUCGCGCGCAGAACUCGAUUCUGCUGCUAGCGCAAUUCUUUCGCUUGAUGGAGUUUCCUCGCGGUGCCCGGGAGGGAUUCGCGCUAGAAGCUGCUAGUUCGUGAUAGUGGUGGUGCUUGCCGCAGCGUUCAUGCGCAUGCGGUGGAAAUCGAGAGAGGUCGCGAACAGCCCUAGAAAUGCUCUUCUUUGCCGUCGAUAAGCUCAGGUGCUCGUAGCUAAGCAGUGGGCGUAAAAGCUGUUUGCGGGAUGUCUUUGCAUCUGUUGAUUGUGCAAUAUGAGCACAGCGCGAGAAGCUUUUAUCCGGUGGCGGGGACAGGGUCUCGGGCGCCCAUGCAGGCGACACGCGCCUAAUCCCGAGCCUCCCUCCUCGCCUUUACCUUGUCCCUGGACCCGCGCCAUCCGUGCCCCGCUGUUCACUUCCCUCGUUUCAUACCAGUUCCCCUCCCCUGCGUAGGCCGGUAACCCCUGAUCCCGCCGCUGCCAGGGAUGCAGCUGUGCAGGAUGAGGUUGACGGCUGUGGAUUGCAUUGGUUACAAGAGGGACCUGCUGACGCAGUUCACGAGCCAGUGACGUGUGGAAGUUGGUGUAGGUUGGCGGUGAUCCAGCGGGGUGGGUGCCGAUGUGCUAUAGUGGGCGCGAGGCUGUACACGUCAGGACCUGGCGAGUGUACUGCUAAAGCUGACUUUGUGAUGGCCCCCAAGCGUAGGUGAGGUAGGCGCACGGUGGUGACAAGGCAUGCGGCCAGUGGAACUGCCUUACAGUUACAGCCCGCCCAAGCGCGGUUGUUGCCCUGCCAUGAUUUCCGUGGAGUCUCUAGCUCCGGCAGGGACGGUCCCCAUCAGUUCCCGUAGUGGACCAUGCAUCCAGCCGCCCACACGUGCUCUCCGUUCGUCACAUACAGUACUCGAACUCCAAUGUCCACAGAGCGUGUGCGCGAAGUCCACACGCCACACACGCAAGUGGCAGCCGCCCGUCCUUGCACAGCAAGCAUCUCCGCGCACGGUCGCACGCUUCACUAGCCCCAACGAACCGCCUACCACAAAUCAAGUCACACCCACCUCAGCAUUAGGAGUGCACAUCCGCCUGUCGAAUGUCGGAUGAUGAUAGGGCAACAAGUAGGUCUAGAGAAAUGAAAGCUAGUAGGUCUACUGCACCCAUGCAUGGAUGGAAAGAAUCAAUGGACCUUUGGAUAUAGGAUCCGGCCUUCUCAAGGGUCCUCGCGCAUUUACUAAAGAGCCAAGGGGUCUAGUAUGUAAGAAGCAAUGCCAGUCUCAAGUCAAGCACACUGCUGCCGCUUCCUGGCAUCUGGAAUGCCGGAAGGGUCGGAGGAACUUGCACCCACAGAACGUACACGUCGUGUCACUGACAGCCCACUCGAGUCUUGUAAACAGUAGAAAUCGUGCCCGCUCCUGCAGCGAGCCAAGAUACGGUAACCUCGAUACUUCUUUGUGUCUCACCGCGGUACGCGCACAGACAUUAAUCUGCGGGCUCCCUCUCCGCACUCCUUCUGUCACUCCCGUGCGUCAGGUCUUCUCCGACGUCGCCUCCACUCCAUCUCCUACGUCCCAUGACUCACCUGUAGCCCCAGGCAGCCCUGCGUCCAUUGGCACAGCGCCCCUCGCCACCUGCCACCCUCUCGCUCAGCAAAUAAACGCACGCGCGAUAGCAAAACACCAGCAGUCCGUAGUAUGGCCAAGGGGGGCUGCCGGUUCCCCGGUCCCAUACAGUCACACAUACAUCUUAUUAAGAAAAAUCAGCAAGGUUUAUUUGGCGAGUCUCAGUAGAGAAAUAGACAUCCAUACAUCACCCAAUGCGCAUGGCAAUAUCGCACAGAGUGCUUGCUUGCGCAAGCAAUCCAGCAUCAAGUACGGCCUUUGACACUCCCGCUCGCUCACAUACGGUGUAAUAUCAGUACAGCACGGCAACACUCGCGCGAAUCAGUCCUGUGUCCUGCGGUAAACGCCGACUACCGUAGCACGCCCUGCUGUCGUGCUGACAAUGAGAAAUGUGCGGCGGCACAGCCCUGCUGGUUCACUUGAUAGUGAAUGGGCCCGAUCAGUAGCUAGUAGCGGCGAUUUGCCUAGCUGUCUAUACUUGCACGCAUACGCUGCGGGUGUGCCUCACAUACCAUAAUACCCAGUGCUGCUUCUUUCGCAUUUAACACACGCUCAGCAUGCCCUGCUGGCUCACUUCGAUACUGUGCCAUCCACACACGUACGUGUGACGAGCCCCUCUUGCGAACGGCCGUCGGCACCACAGCUGCGGCGGCUGCGGCUGCGGCUGCUGCUGCUCCUGCUGCUGCUACUGCUACUGCUGCAUCUUCAAGUGGCGAAGGCAGCAAGCCGCUGGCUGCUGGGCUCAUGCAGCUGACGGCGUAACACGGAAGCCAAACGGAACGGAGCGGCCCUUGCCGCUACCAGGCCGCCACCGCUGCCGGUGGCGGGAAGCAGCCGCACGCGCGCUCCAACGCGGCAAACUCCUCCAGCUCCCGCUCCUGCUCGGCCCACGCCGCCGCCGCCAGCUCGAUCGCCAGGCGCAGGCGCGAGGGCAUCACAGCUGACUGCCACUCAUCACCCUGCUGCACUGCCGCGAUUGGCGGAACGACACAGCUGCCCAUGCUGCUGCCGGCGGCGGUGCAGGCCUCCUUGUCAAUGCUCUGCCGCUCCGCUGCCACCUCCACCGCCUCCACCUGCUGCGGCGUCUCACUGCCUGCCGCCGCCGCCACCCAGACCAGACUGCAGCUGCUGGCGCUGCGGCUGGUGCGGGCGCUGUCCGGCACGGCGCAGCAGCACGAGCUGAGCGGCGAGUCAGGCGCGUCCGGCCGCUCAGUGACAACGGCCACCUCCUGCUCCGCUUCGGCCGCCGCCGGCACGCACUCGCCCUGGGCCUCUGCUUUCCCCAUCGCCGCCAGCUCCGCCGCCAUCCAGGGCGACAGCGAGGCGAGGUAGGCGCCGAAAUCGUCGGCCUCCUCCUCCUCGACGUCAUCCGCCCAGCGGCGGCCGCUGGGGGUGCCGCCGGUGCCGCUGGCAGAUCCCGCCGCCGCCUGCUCCGCCAGACCCUCCUUCAACCAAUCUGCAAGCGACCCGAGGUCGAGCUCCUCCUCCUCCUCCGCCUCCUCGUGCGCCUCGACUUCAUCCGCCCAGCUACCGCUCGCGCCACCGCUGCUGCUAAUGCUGGCGCGAGGAGCAAUGCUGCUGCUGCUACUGCUGCUGCUGCUGCCGUCAGACUCUGACGCUGCCGCGGGCGCGGCCGGUGCGGCUUCCGCCUGCUGCUGCUCGGCCGCCGCGAGCUCCGCCAGUCCCUGCUUCACCCAGGGCGUCUGCUCAAAGAGGUCGCUCAGGUCGAGUCCGUCAGCCUCAUCCUCAUCAUCAUCGCCCCAUCGCGGCGUGGUCGAGCUGCGGUCGACGGUGGAGGUGGAGAUGGGGCUGGCAGCGGCGGCGGGCUUGGUCGGGGCGGCGGGCUUGGUCGGAGCCGCGAGCUUGGGCACCUUGGGCAGGCCGGGCGGCUUCUGCAGGCGCCAGUGGUUGUCGUAGGCAUGGCAAAGCUGGCAGGGGGCGCUCCUGCAGCCAGCAGAUAGGCUGGCAUAGCACCAGCGGAUGCAGGACUUGUGGGGAAAGCAGCAGGCGCUGGGGCCGGGCUCCUGCUGCUCCUGCUGGUGGGCGGCGGCGGAGGGCUCGCUCUCAUCAGAGCCAUGGCCUUGGCUGCGGGGCGUGUGGCGCCAGGCGUCCUGUGCAAACGAGAUCGGGGGAAAGGAUAGAUGGGGGCGGACAAGCCGUGAGUGCACGGGACGAGGACAAGGGUCGGGGCGCAGAGGGCGGGAGCAAGGGCCGGGGGUCAGGGGCUCGAGCCCCGGCAAAAAAAUCAGGCACACACCGGAAAGGCACGCGCUUUCGGUCAAAGCUGUUGACCGACGCAUUUUACGAGACAAUACAUGCAGCAAUAUGCAGCCAGUGUGGCCGCAGCAGCGCAAGAAGGAAGGCCGAGGAAGCCGAGCGCACUACUGGCCCGAAAUCUGCAACGCUAUAUAGCCCGCAUCCGAAGCCUAAUGCUUUGCAUGUGGCAUCAGAUACCCAUUGCAGCUGCUCAAGGCUCAAAAUGGCCGUGCCCGAACAUGAAUGGUGCUCACCUGCAUCGGUCGGCUCGGCUCGAAGUCAAGCCCCGGUGCACUUGCAAUUGACCGUGAUGUGGCCAUAGUAGCUCUUGACCGCACCAAGCACUCUUCGCGCGCAGAACUCGAUUCUGCUGCUAGCGCAAUUCUUUCGCUUGAUGGAGUUUCCUCGCGGUGCCCGGGAGGGAUUCGCGCUAGAAGCUGCUAGUUCGUGAUAGUGGUGGUGCUUGCCGCAGCGUUCAUGCGCAUGCGGUGGAAAUCGAGAGAGGUCGCGAACAGCCCUAGAAAUGCUCUUCUUUGCCGUCGAUAAGCUCAGGUGCUCGUAGCUAAGCAGUGGGCGUAAAAGCUGUUUGCGAGAUGUCUUUGCAUCUGUUGAUUGUGCAAUAUGAGCACAGCGCGAGAAGCUUUUAUCCGGUGGCGGGGACAGGGUCUCGGGCGCCCAUGCAGGCGACACGCGCCCAAUCCCGAGCCUCCCUCCUCGCCUUUACCUUGUCCCUGGACCCGCGCCAUCCGUGUCCCGCUGUUCACUUCCCGCGUUUCAUACCAGUCCCCCUCCCCUGCGUAGGCCGGUAACCCCUGAUCCCGCCGCUGCCAGGGAUGCAGCUGUGCAGGAUGAGGUUGACGGCUGUGGAAGUUGGUGUGUGAUGGGACAGGGUUCAGGCAGGUUGGCGAGGUCCCAUAGGGUGCAGCUGACGCCCGUACCCCAAGCAGACAGCAAACAGUUUGCAGCGGCAGAGCAGGAGUGCAUGGCUGGUCGAACGCCGGAGUUACUGUACCGACAAGUUGCUGGCUGGCUGGAAGUUGGUGUAGGUUGGCGGUGAUCCAGCGGGGUGGGUGCCGAUGUGCUAUAGCGGGCGCGAGGCUGUACACGUCAGGACCUGGCGAGUGUACUGCUAAAGCUGGCUUUGUGAUGGCCCCCAAGCGUAGGUGAGGUAGGCGCACGGUGGUGACAAGGCAUGCGGCCAGUGGAACUGCCUUACAGUUACAGCCCGCCCAAGCGCGGUUGUUGCCCUGCCAUGAUUUCCGUGGAGUCUGCUAGGCAGUCGGCAGGGACGGUGCCCAUCAGUUCCCGAAGUGGACAAACCAUGCAUCCAGCCGCCCACACGUGCUCUCCGUUCGUCACAUACAGUACUCGAACUCCAAUGUCCACAGAGCGUGUGCGCGAAGUCCACACGCUACACACGCAAGUGGCAGCCGCCCGUCCUUGCACAGCAAGCAUCUCCGCGCACGGUCGCACGCUUCACUAGCCCCAACGAACCGCCUACCACAAAUCAAGUCACACCCACCUCAGCAUUAGGAGUGCACAUCCGCCUGUCGAAUGUCGGAUGAUGAUAGGGCAACAAGUAGGUCUAGAGAAAUGAAAGCUAGUAGGUCUACUGCACCCAUGCAUGGAUGGAAAGAAUCAAUGGACCUGUGGAUAUAGGAUCCGGCCUUCUCAAGGGUCCUCGCGCAUUUACUAAAGAGCCAAGAGGUCUAGUAUGUAAGAAUCAAUGCCAGUCUCAAGUCAAGCACACUGCUGCCGCUUCCUGGCAUCUGGAAUGCCGGAAGGGUCGGAGGAACUUGCACCCACAGAACGUACACGUCGUGUCACUGACAGCCCACUCGAGUCUUGUAAAC
rnacentral:lncRNA from 1 species